CAGUUAGAGCUUUCUAGACCAGACUUCCCUUUGUCUGAGUAUCCAGUGCGCCGCCCGACGUCUGCCGUGCAUGACGUGUCCCUUCGAACAUCAGUUGGGGCGCCGCCCUCCGGAGCUCUAGAGCAUCUAGAAUCCAACAGUUUAUGAUCCAGGUCCCUGGUGGUGGAAGCUUCAUCAGCAGACUGAUGAUGUACCAGCUAGCUGUCGCAUCACACCUGCCGAGCUGGUGCUUGAUGCCACCAGGGAACCGAGCUGCACUGUGUGACCAAGGUCUCAUGCGUUCAGGCAGGCUCCAUCAUCAGCCCACUGCCUCUGAAGAUCUUCA